rnacentral:lncRNA from 1 species
CUCUUGUUCAGAGUUCUACUACAAUCCUGUCUCUCUGAAGCUAAUCAAUAGUUAUUUAUGCCCUGCAGACCUCCAAAGAAAGCCUACCUCAUAAAUUGCACUCAAGGCAUUUUGGAAGCCUCUGGAUCUAAGGCGGUUUAUAAGGACCUUCUGUCAAGUGGACCACCCUGCAUGCACACACAUGUCUAUGAUCUACAGAACAGUCAUUAUUAGAGUCACUCAGAAACAAACAGGUACAACCUUGGAAGAUCUCUCCUAUAACAGUGAUCCUGAUAUUAUCUUCCAG